GAUGAACGCUGGCGGCGUGCCUAAUACAUGCAAGUCGAGCGAACAGACGAGGAGCUUGCUCCUCUGACGUUAGCGGCGGACGGGUGAGUAACACGUGGAUAACCUACCUAUAAGACUGGGAUAACUUCGGGAAACCGGAGCUAAUACCGGAUAACAUGUUGAACCGCAUGGUUUAACAGUGAAAGACGGUCUUGCUGUCACUUAUAGAUGGAUCCGCGCCGCAUUAGCUAGUUGGUAAGGUAACGGCUUACCAAGGCAACGAUGCGUAGCCGACCUGAGAGGGUGAUCGGCCACACUGGAACUGAGACACGGUCCAGACUCCUACGGGAGGCAGCAGUAGGGAAUCUUCCGCAAUGGGCGAAAGCCUGACGGAGCAACGCCGCGUGAGUGAUGAAGGUCUUCGGAUCGUAAAACUCUGUUAUUAGGGAAGAACAAAUGUGUAAGUAACUAUGCACGUCUUGACGGUACCUAAUCAGAAAGCCACGGCUAACUACGUG
rnacentral:rRNA from 1 species